GGGUAGUUAGCUCAGCGGUAGAGCUUCUGCCUUACAAGCAGAAGGCCACAGGUUCAAAUCCUGUACUACCCA
rnacentral:tRNA from 2 species